CCCAAGAAAGCCUGUUAACAACAUGCCAAGCUAACAGAGCCAAGGUCGCCUCUGUGUUGGACUUUUGGGGUUCCUGGAUGGGGCAGCUGAAGUAAUAAGGGUCCUGAGAGUCAGCAGAAUGAAUUUAAGGAUGUGCCCUGCUGUGUGACCUUGGGUGAAUCACUUAACUUUUCUGCAUCUGAAUUUCUCCAGCUAUAGGAAUUUGGAUGAAUCCCCUUUCUCUCUCAAAGGGGUAAAAUAGUUUCCUUUCAGCUGUAAGACCUAUUUAAGAAUUCCAGACAAGAUCAGGCCUGGGGAGAAGCUAUUUUUGGAUGCAGAAGCCUUUGAGUCUCCUUUUCUGCUCCAGGAUCAGCCCAGUCAAGAAAAUCAUCAGUUUAAGGAAAGUAAGACCCCAGGCUCCCAGUCUUGCUACCAGCAUUUCGUUGAAGGAAGAACAGAUUCAGAGAGGUUUAAGUGGUCACCCUUUCCUGGUCACACAGCGAGAAUGGCAACGAGCAAGACUUUAUGAGAACAGAGGUGUAGGCCAGGGCUGGCAGAAACCCAGCACUCUGAUGCUGACUGGGCUGAUGGACUUUGUGGACGAGGCUCUGUAGCUUUUGUGGUGUAUGCCAAAGCUGAGUCAUGUGAAGACAGAUGAACGAUACCCAAUCCAGACCACUCUUCCUACCUACACAAGCUCCUAGGCCUGGAUGCUAGAGUUCUAUCUUAGAAAAAGGCGAGGCAUCUGUUUGGCAGUGAUCCUAAUGCUGAGAAUUAGCAGAUGUCCCUUGGAUCUAGAGGCCAUCUGGUGUUGGAGAAAAAUGUUGGCUUUGAAGUUGGAGGACCUGGGUUGGAAUCCUAGCUCUUCUACUUACUACCUGUAUGACUGUGGAUGCCCCACACCUCAUGGGGGUAGUAGAACAAGAAGAAGGCCAUGUUUGCUCACGUUGCUUUGAUGAACUGAGAGUCACAAACCACUAGCCUUCAAGAAAGAUGGAAAUCCACUAGGCCUUACUAUCUGCCAAAGGCCUUGCCAUUGGCCCUGCUGCUAUGCCCUCCAGACUCUUGGGCCUUUCUAUGUGCCUUGUAGGUGAACUCACUCAUAUGUGUAGUUGGCACAUAGUAAAUGCUUUUUUUUUUGGAUGCUCAUCCAUCCAUUCAUUUAACCUCGGUUUCCUCAUUUGUAAAAUGAAAAGGUUGGAUUACAACUGCAGGUCUGUGAUUCUGUGGUUUCUUUAUCUUUAGGCUUCUCUCUCUGCAAGUCAGCCCAUGGACCAAUGGACCAAUCUUCUUUCCAUAUCACUUCCGUCCCUGCUCUACUCUAAGUAACAAGGAUGUGUCUGAGCCUGCUCACAUAGGCUCAAGAGAGCUGAUUGUUCAAUUUUCAGCAUGAGAAUUUACUCCUUGAAAACUACACAUCAGGGAUUGGCAUAUUGUUUUAUUGAUUGUCUAGACUUAAGAAAGCAAUCGAAGAAAAUGUUAAUAAUUCAGACUAAACUGAAAAGUUCAAUUCUUUUGGAAAAACCAGCUGUGUUGUUAAAUAUUUACCAGCACACCUCUGGUAUGUGAGCUCCACACUUACUAGCUGUGUGACCUUAGGUAAGUCACUUAAUGCCUUUGAUCCUCAUGUCCCUUUUCUAUAAAAUACAGAUAAUGAGUACAUGCACUCCCUCCUGGGGUCCUUGGGAGGAAAGCUCUUUGUAACCCUAAAAGCAUUACAGAAGUAUGAAUGAUUA